GGCUUGAUGGUCUAGUAGUAUGAUUCCUUGUUAGGGUGAGAGUAUGGCGCUGUUCGAGGAGGUCCUGGGUUCAAUUCCCAGUCAAGCCC
rnacentral:tRNA from 1 species